AACGAACGCUGGCGGCAGGCUUAACACAUGCAAGUCGAACGCACCGCAAGGUGAGUGGCAGACGGGUGAGGAACACGUGGGAACAUCCCCUUCAGUUCGGAAUAACUCAGGGAAACUUGAGCUAAUACCGGAUACGUCCGUGAGGAGAAAGAUUUAUCGCUGAAGGAAUGGCCCGCGUCUGAUUAGCUAGUUGGUGAGGUAACGGCUCACCAAGGCUACGAUCAGUAGCUGAUCUGAGAGGAUGAUCAGCCACAUUGGGACUGAGACACGGCCCAAACUCCUACGGGAGGCAGCAGUGGGGAAUAUUGGACAAUGGGCGCAAGCCUGAUCCAGCCAUGCCGCGUGAGUGAUGAAGGCCUUCGGGUUGUAAAGCUCUUUUGUCCGGGAAGAUAAUAACAGUACCUGGAGAAUAAGCUCCGGCUAACUCCGUGCCAGCAGCCGCGGUAA
rnacentral:rRNA from 1 species